CCUACGGGUGGCAGCAGUGAGGAAUAUUGGGCAAUGGAGGAAACUCUGACCCAGCAAUGCCGCGUGAAUGAAGAAGGUCUUCGGAUUGUAAAGUUCUUUAGUCAGGGAAGAAGUCAAUGACGGUACCUGAAGAAUAAGCUCCGGCUAACUACGUGCCAGCAGCCGCGGUAAUACGUAGGGAGCAAGCGUUGUUCGGAAUGACUGGGCGUAAAGGGUGCGUAGGCGGUUGUACAAGUUAGAAGUGAAAUACCCAGGGCUUAACUCGGGUGCUGCUUCUAAAACUGUAUGACUUGAGUGCAGUAGAGGUGAGUGGAAGUCCUAGGGUAGCGGGGGAAUGCGUAGAGAUUAGGAGGAACACCAGAGGCGAAGGCGGCUAACUGGACUGCAACGGACGCUGAGGCACGAAAGUGUGGGGAGCAAACAGGAUUAGAUACCCGUGUAGUC
rnacentral:rRNA from 1 species